UACUCGAGUGGCGGACGGGUGAGUAACACGUGGGUGAUCUGCCCUGCACUUCGGGAUAAGCUUGGGAAACUGGGUCUAAUACCGGAUAGGAGCCAUCUUUAGUGUGGUGGUUGGAAAGUUUUUUCGGUGUAGGAUGAGCUCGCGGCCUAUCAGCUUGUUGGUGGGGUAAUGGCCUACCAAGGCGGCGACGGGUAGCCGGCCUGAGAGGGUGUACGGCCACAUUGGGACUGAGAUACGGCCCAG
rnacentral:rRNA from 1 species